UUGAAACGUCUCCACCACAGAUGUCUUCACAUGUGGGGUUUUCAUUUCAUGUCGUUUGCAAGAGUGGCCAGGGAUGAAAAAAUAAGCCGGCCCCUCUUAUGUUCGCUUGAGGUUGCUCUGAAAGCAAGUUAAUCCCCAUAGACUCCCUUAUUAAAGCAUCUAAACUUCACUUCAUUAAAAAAAGCAUGUUUAGAACCUAACACCAUAAAUGAAUUUGUAAUCUGAAGCACUGAAGUAAACCUUUCACCAGUGGACCUUUCUCUAUGUUGUGAACUUCUUUCAGCCCAUUUUAGUGCAAAUAUGCCAAGAAUCUGGUACAUCAUUUUGGUGAGUGAAAUUCUAGUAUAUAGCUGUUCUUUGCACCCAUAAAGUGAAUGAAUACAGCAUGAUAACAGGUAAAUAUAUACACAUCUGGCUACAAAUAUCAACAUAAAAAUGGGCAAAAUGCUAAAGAUGAGGCUUUGAAAUGCAGAUCCAAAAACCAGUGGGUGAUGUUAUGAUGAUGAGCCAUAGCUUCAUCGAUGAUCAAGCUAUGGCCCAUGGGAUGCAUUUCAAAAC